CCAGUCAGUUCUUCCUUUUUAUUUCUGGCUAGUCAUUCGUUGUCAAGGUAUGUUCAGUUUGUCAUCCAUUCAUUAGUUGAAGGACUUUUGGGUUGUUUGCAGUUUUUGUCUUAAUAUUCUAGGCACCUCUAGAUGCGUUGGCUUAUUUCACUUAGCAUAAUGUUUUCAAGGGAAAAAUUUGUUUCUAAACUAUCUGUUUUGUUUUGUUUUUAUGCCACAGAUGGACCUUGUUUCAUAAAGCAGGCACUGUGUCUUUUUAUGAGCAGAGGCCUGGCCCUCAGUUUGUAUGUGUUGAAUGAAUAUAUGACUGACUAAUAGAGUAAUGGCAAAAACAACUAGCUAGGGUUUAAAAUCUAUGAGAGGGUUUAUAAUUCAUAAGUCAAUGUGAAAGGCCUUUACAGCUUGUAAAUGUACAAAAGCAAAUGUGAGUGUGUAUUUUAUUUUAUUUUAUUUUAUUUUAUUUUAUUUUAUUUUAUAUGACAGGGUCUUGCUCUGUGACCCAGGCUGGAGUGCAAUGCUGUAAUCAGAGUUUACCGCAGCCACAAACUACAAGGCUCAAGUGAUCUUCCCAUCUGAGCCUCCUCAGUAGCUGGGUCUAUAAGUGCAUGCCACCACAGCUGGCAAAGUUAAUUUUUUUUUUUUUUUGUAGAAAUGGGAGUCUGGCUAUGUUGCCCAAGCUGGUUUUAAACUCCUGGCCUCAAGUGAUCCUCCAGCUUUGGCCUCCCAAAGUGCUGGGAUUCCAGGCAUGAGCCACCAUGCCCGGCCAAUGUGUUCCAGUUAUUAUAAUUAUGGUGAGACUGCCAUGCUUCCUAGUCCUUGGGUGCCACUGUGGCUGGCUGGAUGAGCCCCUUUCAAAUGCUUCCUAGCAACCAUCCCUUCUGGAAGUCCGAGGUGGGUAACUUGAGCUCAUGUUUAAGUCAGAUUUAUUUUACUUUAAGUUGUCCCCUUUUAGGGCUAAUUUAGCAACACGCAUGCCCUUUCUCAAGAUUCUUAUCAGAUGGUGGUGAACUUUUAACGAAUAUAAUGAAAAACAUUUCCCCAUCCUAGAACACGGGGGAAGGCAAAAUGCAGCUUGACCCCGUCAACUUCUUUCAUCUGGUCUCUGUAAUCAGUUUUAUGAAA
rnacentral:lncRNA from 10 species